AGCGGGACCCGGGCGUGGCCUGGCUACGCCUCGACACUUCUUAAAAAUCUCCGGAAUUAAACACCUUUUCUGCAAUCUGCCCUGGUUUAGUUUGGAGAAGAAUUUACCAACUCAAAUCUGGCCCAAGCCUGGACUGUCUAGAUAAGGAAGCGGAUCACAAAAACAAACUGCGUCUGAAUCUUACUUUAUGUGAGGCUGCAACGUGCCCCGAGAAGUGUCUGUUUCCCAGGUUCUUUUGUAACUAGUAGCGACCGGUGUAAUUAAGCUCUGGCCAGUGAGAUGCAAAUCCAAGGGCGGCCUGGACAUUCCUGGAAGAUGGCUUAAAUGGAACCGACUCAGUCAGCAGGUAUCUUUUCUGCCCUUUUCCCUUUCCUCUUUCUUAUGCCCUUAAAUGAUCUGUACUGAUUGGCGCUCCAGCUGCCUUCUGGGCCAGGAAGCAACCACCAGGCAGGAAGCCAGUCCUGGGCGGGGAGGAAGGGGUAGUGAGGAUGCGGGGCCCAGGAUGGCUCUGACCCUGCCCUCCCAGGCCUUUUUAAGCGAGAAAGAAACAACUUCCAUCUUGCUUAAACUACUCUAAUUUUGUGUUUUCUCACAUGGGCGGCUGAAUCUAGCCUAACCUACAUAGCCAUUAAAAAGGACUCAGGAUGGGGGCUGACGCUACUGUGUGUCCCGCACAUCUUCACCCGUGCAGUCCUCCUGGCUCCUGAUGGGGCCUCACACCUUGCCUGGAGGCCCCUGGGGCCGUGGAGGAGGAAGUGCCUGCAUCUGAGCCGCCCCGAGGCACCCUGAAAGCCUGGCCUUCCAGGCAGCAAGAAAAGACAGCAGUGCUCCUGCCUGCCUGCCAAAUACAGGGCAAUGACCUGCGUCAUUCCGGUGCCAUCACGAACCCCUCGAACGUGGGGGACUAGCCUUGUUCUGCAGAUGUGCGAAGUGAGGCUCAGAGAGAUGAAGCAUCCCACCCACGGUCACUAUCUGAGACCCCCAGUAGGGUGACCAACCGGUUUUCCCAGGACUGAGGGGUUUCCUGAGAUGCAAGACUUUGAGGACAGUACCAGGCAAACCAGGACGGUUGGUCAGUCUGGCUGCCUGCCUGCAAAGCCCCGUUAUACCACCUGUGCGCCCCGACAAAGCCCACAGCUCCGAUUUCCCCAAGAGCUGGCUCUAGCAUCCUGAAAUGCUCAACCUGGACCUCUGGCCUGGCAAUCUGCUCUCCUUUCUAGAAGUAGGCACUGGAGUGGCCCUAGUAGGACUGUGUGAUGGAACUAAAGUCUUCUCUGUGCUGUCUUAUGUUCCAGGCUAGGAUCCCCAACUCCACACACGCAGCAGCUACCACCCCAAGAGAGCCCGGUGCUGUGCAGGGGGCAGAGCCUUGCCCUGCGUGGGGCAGAGGUCAGGGCCUUGUCCUACUGUGCUGACAUGUUCUCCAGAUCCUUUGCCCUCCUUGUCUACCAGAUGUGACCACUUAAAACUAUCAUAACAUCUUUACAUUUUUCCCACUAAAAUACUUUUUCCAGAGUUUUAAAAGCACUAUCUUUGGUCUGCCUAAAGAUGCAAAAGGUACAAAUUUAAGAUGAAGAACUUCCAAGUUCUACCCCUUUCUAUCUUAGCUUAUCCCUUACUAAAUGGCACCAAUGGGAUUUUGUGUGUCUCCACAUAAAUAAACCCAAAUAAUGGCCAUCUAGGGUGUAGGUUCUCAGCUUGGGGUUUCCGGAUAGGAUUCGGGGAUACAUGAACCUCCCUGAAAUUGUGUGCCCUGGUGUGUGUGUACGUGUGUGCAUGUGUGUGCGUGCUCUUUUAUAGGGUAGAGGGUCUGCAGCUUUUACCACAUCCUUGGGGGAGUCUGUGACCAAUAGCUGAGAAGCACUGGAGAAUUACCUCGGAAGAAUUUUUUACUUUUUACAAAAGGUGCCUUUGUUUUAUGAAAUGAUUCACAGUAGCAACUUAUCACAGUGUAAGCCUAUGACUCAGGCUCUGGCCUUGAUACAGCAAAGGAAAAAAGCAGGGAGCCACAGGGAAACGUGUGGUCAAGACAGAGAAGGGGAGUACAGCUGAGAGGUCUAGUAGUCUGCACACCACGCCCUCUGGGGACGGAAGGAGAAUCCUCAGACCCAGAGCAAAGAGCCAUGGGGGCUCUGGGCUCCAGACCCAAUGGCCAAAGACUUCCUUACUCUCUUUGCCAUCAACCUAUCUAUAGGUGAUUGAUUUCUCGUUUCUGGUAUUUUCUUUUAUAUUUUUGCUUGUUUGCUUUUUUGCCAAGUGCAACUUCUCUCCUGAAUACAUUAAUCCAGUAAACAUCUAAUGAAUACUGCAGGCCCGUGUCUGAACGCCCACACAGUGGAGCCUGGACCUCAGUCUUGGGUUUGUAGCCCAGCUCCACCCUUUGUAGACAUGUGACUUUGGGGAGUGAGCCUGGCCUCAGUGGCAUGGACCAGGUUCCCUGUCCUCUUUCCCAGCAAAUUCUGGAGGCAGCAACCCUUAAAUAAUAGGGCCAUGGGUAAUCUGGUUGUCUCCUCAUGACCACGGUCCUUCGGCCAGCCCUCCCGGGCUCCCUGCCCUGCCUGUCUGGAGUCCUGAAGAGUGCAGCAGGUCAAGCCUGCCAUCGGUGCCAGGGUCACCCCGGCACAGCCUCUAACUACCCUUUUCUGUCUCAUUUUCCACAACACCCAUCUGCCCCUGUGGUGAGGCCCUCUGAGAGUGCGCUGGAUGAUGAGGCCGGCUGUCUCCAUCAAUAGGAGAGCCGGCGAUUGCAGAAUAAGGAGAGAUGAGGAGGUGGGACCUUCCCAGGGACUGCCAAAUGACACCGAACACUUCGGCCUGCUCCAAGUACGCGGGACGCCCCCGCUUGGGCCUCCCCAAUGCACAGGCUUACGCUCAGGAGGGUUUUUUUAAACGAAAAUCAAGAGUCUGUGAUCCUUCUUAAUGAGGCUGAGGUGUUUUCACCUCACCAAGCUCACAGUGGGAACAUUAGGAGAUGAUGGAUUCCUUUUUAUGGUGAAAAAAAUUUUAUUUUCAGGCUCAGAAGACAAAAGAGAACUGAGUAAGAGGGAUGGCCCCUCGGGGCUUGCGGCGCCUGUGGCUAAUGGUCUGACAGGAGGCUCAUGGUCCAUGAGCACACUCCUUGGGUUUUCCUGGAAUCUUUGGACUCUGAUGCAGGUUUAUCUGCCUGAAUAGUUUUCCCUUCCCCCACAGCGAAUGAAUCAUUUCCUCUCAUAUCCUGCCAGACAUCUCAAACCAUGCCUCCCAUUCUUGGUUGAGUGCCCAAACCGAACUCACGGUGAUGAAAAAGCAACUGAUGGAAAACAAUUUUUCAUUCUCAUUUACAAGCCUCUUGAAAAAGGCUUUUUGGGAGAAGCCUGUGGGCAUGACACCCGGUCCCAGCUGGAUGCUCUUGACAACACUCAUUGUCAACACUGAAACGCUACAGCAGGUCGUACGUCAUGGAGCCUCGGGAGUGAGGGGAGCCUGAUUCAUUUCCCUGAGACAAUCUAACAAGCCAGGCAUCUGCCAGCGUCAGAUGCUUCAUCCAGAGCUAAAUGGAGAGCCACUCGACAUAAAAUGAUGAGCUUCUGCUGCCAUCUGGUGGAGUUCUCACCUUUCAUCAUUAUUAAUUAAAACCACUAGAAAAAAGUGUGUUUCUAAAAGUGUUCCUAUUGGCGUUACCCAACAUUUACUACCUAUAGCAUUUGACCAGUUACUUAAUCUUUCUAAGCCUUGUUUCCUCAGUGAUAAAAUAUCUAACUAAUAGCACUGUGAGGGUUGAAACAGAAAGGUUGAUAACAUGAGCAGUAAUAAUAAAAAUGUAAGGUGCCUAGCAUUAAAUUUAACAAAGGACAUGCAAUUAUGAAAAAAAUGUAAAACCUUUGUUUGAAAGAUAUUUGUGAAUACCUAAAUGAAAGAGUUCAUUGGAAAAGCAGAAUCUCAGACUCCACUUUAGACCGACUGGAUAACAGGAUCUCCGGGUUAUUUGUAUUGACAUUAAAAUUUGAAAA